rnacentral:rRNA from 1 species
UACGAGGGGUCCAAACGUUAUUCGGAAUCACUGGGCUUACAGAGUUCGUAGGCGGUCCAGAAAGUGGGGUGUGAAAGCCCUCGGCUUAACCGAGGAACUGCCGUCCAAACUGCUUCGCUUGAGACCGGGAGAGGUGAGUGGAAUUCCCAGUGUAGCGGUGAAAUGCGUAGAUAUUGGGAGGAACACCAGUGGCGAAGGCGGCUCACUGGACCGGUACUGACGCUGAAGCGCGAAAGCGUGGGGAGCAAACGGG